UGAGGAAUAUUGGUCAAUGGACGAGAGUCUGAACCAGCCAAGUAGCGUGCAGGAUGACGGCCCUAUGGGUUGUAAACUGCUUUUAUAAGGGAAUAAAGUGAGUCUCGUGAGACUUUUUGCAUGUACCUUAUGAAUAAGGACCGACUAAUUCCGUGCCAGCAGCCGCGGUAAUACGGAAGGUCCGGGCGUUAUCCGGAUUUAUUGGGUUUAAAGGGAGCGUAGGCCGGAGAUUAAGCGUGUUGUGAAAUGUAGAUGCUCAACAUCUGAACUGCAGCGCGAACUGGUUUCCUUGAGUACGUACAAAGUGGGCGGAAUUCGUGGUGUAGCGGUGAAAUGCUUAGAUAUCACGAAGAACUCCGAUUGCGAAGGCAGCUCACUGGAGCGCAACUGACGCUGAAGCUCGAAAGUGCGGGUAUCGAACA
rnacentral:rRNA from 1 species